rnacentral:rRNA from 1 species
AGAGUUUGAUCAUGGCUCAGGAUGAACGCUGGCGGCGUGCUUAACACAUGCAAGUCGAACGAAGCACCUUAUUCUGAUUUCUUCGGAAUGCAAAAUUUGGUGACUGAGUGGCGGACGGGUGAGUAACGCGUGGGUAACCUGCCUCAUACAGGGGGAUAACAGUUAGAAAUGACUGCUAAUACCGCUUAAGACCACAGCACCGCAUGGUGCAGGGGUAAAAACUCCGGUGGUAUGAGAUGGACCCGCGUCUGAUUAGGUAGUUGGUGGGGUAACGGCCUACCAAGCCGACGAUCAGUAGCCGACCUGAGAGGGUGACCGGCCACAUUGGGACUGAGACACGGCCCAAGCUCCUACGGGAGGCAGCAGUGGGGAAUAUUGCACAAUGGGGGAAACCCUGAUGCAGCGACGCCGCGUGAGCGAUGAAGUAUUUCGGUAUGUAAAGCUCUAUCAGCAGGGAAGAAAAUGACGGUACCUGACUAAGAAGCACCGGCUAAAUACGUGCCAGCAGCCGCGGUAAUACGUAUGGUGCAAGCGUUAUCCGGAUUUACUGGGUGUAAAGGGAGCGUAGACGGAGUGGCAAGUCUGAUGUGAAAACCCGGGGCUCAACCCCGGGACUGCAUUGGAAACUGUCAAUCUAGAGUACCGGAGAGGUAAGCGGAAUUCCUAGUGUAGCGGUGAAAUGCGUAGAUAUUAGGAGGAACACCAGUGGCGAAGGCGGCUUACUGGACGGUAACUGACGUUGAGGCUCUAAAGCGUGGGGAGCAAACAGGAUUAGAUACCCUGGUAGUCCACGCCGUAAACGAUGACUACUAGGUGUCGGGCAGCAAAGCUGUUCGGUGCCGCAGCAAACGCAAUAAGUAGUCCACCUGGGGAGUACGUUCGCAAGAAUGAAACUCAAAGGAAUUGACGGGGGCCCGCACAAGCGGUGGAGCAUGUGGUUUAAUUCGAAGCAACGCGAAGAACCUUACCUGCUCUUGACAUCUCCCUGACCGGCAAGUAAUGUUGCCUUUCCUUCGGGACAGGGAUGACAGGUGGUGCAUGGUUGUCGUCAGCUCGUGUCGUGAGAUGUUGGGUUAAGUCCCGCAACGAGCGCAACUCCUAUCUUUAGUAGCCAGCGGUCAGGCCGGGCACUCUAGAGAGACUGCCAGGGAUAACCUGGAGGAAGGUGGGGAUGACGUCAAAUCAUCAUGCCCCUUAUGAGCAGGGCUACACACGUGCUACAAUGGCGUAAACAAAGGGAGGCAGAACCGCGAGGUCGAGCAAAUCCCAAAAAUAACGUCUCAGUUCCGAUUGUAGUCUGCAACUCGACUACAUGAAGCUGGAAUCGCUAGUAAUCGCGAAUCAGAAUGUCGCGGUGAAUACGUUCCC